AAACAACUAAAAAAGAAAAUCAACCUUCUGUGGCAGCAUCUGCUCAGAUGAUGGAAAAAUCAACAUGUGUCAGUCCAUAUUGCUUUGG